UAAAACCAGCUCCUCGAGUGGUGGGGACGAUUAUUGGGCUUAAAGCGUCCGUAGCCGGCCUGACAAGUCUUCCGUCAAAUCCAGCGACCCAAUCGCUGGGCCGCGGAAGAUACUGCCAGGCUAGGGGACGGGAGAGGCCGACGGUAUUCCUGGGGUAGGGGUGAAAUCCUAUAAUCCCAGGAGGACCACCAGUGGCGAAGGCGGUCGGCUAGAACGCGCCCGACGGUGAGGGACGAAAGCUGGGGGAGCGAACCGGAUUAGAUACCCGGGUAGUCCCAGCCGUAAACGAUGCGGGCUAGGUGUUGGGGCGGUCACGAACCGCCUCAGUGCCGCACGGAAGCAAUUAAGCCCGCCGCCUGGGGAGUACGGUCGCAAGGCUG
rnacentral:rRNA from 1 species